UGGGGAAUUUUGGGACAAUGGGCGAAAGCCUGAUCCAGCAAUGCCGCGUGUGUGAAGAAGGCCUUCGGGUUGUAAAGCACUUUUGUCCGGAAAGAAAUCCUUGGCUCUAAUACAGUCGGGGGAUGACGGUACCGGAAGAAUAAGCACCGGCUAACUACGUGCCAGCAGCCGCGGUAAUACGUAGGGUGCAAGCGUUAAUCGGAAUUACUGGGCGUAAAGCGUGCGCAGGCGGUUUGCUAAGACCGAUGUGAAAUCCCCGGGCUCAACCUGGGACUGCAUUGGCGANUGGCAGGGCUAGAGUAUGGCAGAGGGGGGUAGAAUUCCACGUNUAGCAGUGAAAUGCGUAGAGAUGUGGAGGAAUACCGAUGGCGAAGGCAGCCCCCUGGGCAAGUACUGACGCUCAUGCACGAAAA
rnacentral:rRNA from 1 species